GGAAAUUGCUGUUGGCCUUUUCUCUUUAAAUUCAUAAGGGAGGAGAAGGAAGUUUUUGCCUUCAUCUACAGAAGUAACUCGGUGGCCUUUAGCUGGAUGGUUACCAAAUGACACCGGUGACAACAAUAUUCUGCCCCACACAUAAAAUACAAGGGAUGUGACAGUGUCAAGAGAUAUCAUAAAGCACAAGAGGAAAGCUUCCAGAGGGAAAUACGUGAGUGCAAGACUGUGGUGAGCUCCAGCUGAUCCCUGCUAAGGAUGUGUCAGGCACUUGGUAUCACAGACACUUCUGAAAAGAGCUGUCAGAUCACAGCUGCCUGUUUCACACCUCUCUGAAUGAGCAAGGCCAAGGGCAGUGGAGCCAAGCACUCAUCCCUGGCUGUCACCCGGACAGCCUGUGUGCACUUGGGCAAGUUGUCAAAUCCUCCACACGACAGAGUUUUGCCAAGACAGCCUGGACUGACACCAUCAUUAGUCCUUUAUUAAAAACUUUUCAAUUCCUUACUCAGUAGACUUUCCUCCGGCAACUCAGACUCCUUUCCUCCCCGCAAAUUUCUUUCUUCCUUCUGCAUGACUAGCUAACCCCCAGCUGUCCCUUUCCCAGCCACCUGACCCUGUCUGUUCCUCACACAGCAUCUUCUUACCUUGUCUGUCCCUUACCUCCUUGCAACACAGGCAGCAGAUUCCAUCCUAAACUGCAGCAGACUCCGGGUAUGCAGCUGCAACUUACUCUCAGCCAGCCAACACACUCUUUUAUAACCCCCAUCCUCAUUGGGCAGGCAAGGCUGUCUCCACUUCUCAGCAAUCAGUACAGCUGUAAUUCAUCGAGGAAAAUUGCCUUCUGCACUAUCCUUACAACCCACCUCCCACACCCCACCAUGCCACGUUUAACAGAGCUCAUUUCUAAGCUCUGCAGGGUGUCUCCUCCUCUGCAACCACGGUAGAAUCACCAGUCUGGAUGCGUGUUCUGUAACUUUAUGCAUGUAACUGAAGAGCCUGGUAAGCAUCUCAAUCUCACCAUUACCUUUCUUUGUGGUCACUGGACGGUCAGAGACAUGCACUUCCAAGUGAGAUAUGAGGUGGGAUGCAGUGGUCUGGCAGCAGUCUGCGGCGCAACUCCCCUUCUCCAAGUCCACAGCACCUGGUGAAAAGGUGCUGGAGCUGGGGCAUGGAUGUUUCAACAUGUCUCCAAAGUGACUUCUGAGUUGGAGUGUCUUCAAUGAAAUGCCUGAGACAUGAUGGACA